GGGAUGAGUGGCGGUGGAACAGGGCACAGGCAUGAAGGGAAUGGGAUGAAUUGAAGCUAGGGAUAGAGUCCUUAAGAAAGGUUGGCAGAAUCACCAAUGCAUUUUGACGUUGGUGAGGAUAAUAUAGGGACCCCUUAUUGAGGCUACCAGUGUUCUGGAAACAGACAACCAGGCUGGUUCUAUUGUCAGAUGCAGUCAGAGAGCAAAUUUCAUACUGUGGGAGGAAAAACGACCCAGGCCAUGUUACUUUGGUCUCUCCAGUACACAGAAGAAUAUGAAAGAUGUGGUGCAGCUAGCACAUAAGAGUCAAAAAACCAUAUCGUUCCUCAUAACCCAGUGAGUGGGGUGAACGAACCUGAAGGAGGACCUAUCCAUCUGUGUGGUUUCUCCCAGCUGGACUCAGAAAGGUUCAUGUGGAGACCACCGGUCUGUGACCUGGGUGAUGACAGUGAGCACAUAGUCAGUCUUGUAGGUUUCUUGGUCUCAUCUCAGCCCUGACAAUAGAAGCCACUGGUUUCUAACUGAAGAGCUUCAACUGAAGGAUAAAAUUUGAUGAGUGGUACCGAGGAUGUAAAAGGGCUGACCGUCAAACCCAACGGCUCUGACCAGAAGGCUGGUAAUUGCUGCUUCCUCAUUUCCUCUGGCUCUUUGCUCAAUUUCUCCUCAUCUGUAGUCCACACCUGAUGGUUCCAUUUAAAACAGCGGUCCAGCCUUGACCUUGGCCCCUCCACAAAGCUGGGCAUGAUUUAUUUUCAUCUGUAGCAGGUGCCAUCCCUGAUACACUGAAUAUUCUGCCUGCCACCCAACCAGAAUGUCAAUGUUGCAUCCUCUUCCUGGAGGCUCCAUUAAAUGUAUUUGUGACACCGAGACUAAUGCCCGCAAUGAGAGAACUGUUUAAUAAAUAUUUUAGUGAAUGAA